rnacentral:rRNA from 1 species
UACGUAGGGUGCAAGCGUUGUCCGGAAUUAUUGGGCGUAAAGAGCUCGUAAGGCGGUUUGUUGCGUCGGCUGUGAAAUCCCGAGGCUCAACCUCGGGUCUGCAGUCGAUACGAGCAAACUAGAGUGUUGCAGGGGAGACUGGAAUUCCUGGUGUAGAGGUGAAAUUCGUAAGAUAUCGGGAGGAACACCAGUGGCGAAGGCGGCGAUCUGGG